GGAAGCAUAGUGUAAUAGUUUGGACGUUGGACUAGGACUCCAGGAGAUCAGGGUUCAAAUCCCUGCUCAGUCA